rnacentral:misc_RNA from 1 species
CGCACAUUGCGCCCAUUAGUAUUCUAGUGGGCAUGCCUGUUCGAGCGUCAUUAAGUCCAUUAAGCCCUGUUGCUUAUCGUUGGGAGCCUGCUGGCGUAGCCUGCAGCUCCUCAAAAUUAGUGGCGGAGUUAGCGUAUACUCUAGGCGUAGUAAUUUCAACUCGCUUCUGUGGUUGCACUGGCGCCUGCCGUAAAACCCCCAAUUUUAAAGGUUUGACCUCGGAUCAGGUAGGAAUACCCGCUGAACUUAA